GAUUUCUGGCUUGAAACAUUUUGCCGGCCACGGUUUCGUGUGUUAGUGCUUGAUGUUCUGGCCAUCCUUCCAAUCGCUAUGCACCUUUCUUCAUUGAUUGGUGUGUGGUAUUGGAUCAUUUACUUUGAAAAAAUUAGAGUGUUUAAAGCAGGCUUUUGCUAUGAAUACAUUAGCAUGGAAUAAUAAUUUAGGACUUUGCUCCUAUUUUAUUGGUUUCUAGGGGUAAAGUAAUGAUUGAUAGGGAUAGUUGGGGGUGCUAGUAUUCAUCGGCCAGAGGUGAAAUUCUUGGAUUCGAUGAAGACUAACUUAUGCGAAAGCAUU
rnacentral:rRNA from 1 species